UACGGGGGGGGCAAGCGUUGUUCGGAAUUACUGGGCGUAAAGGGCUCGUAGGCGGCCAACUAAGUCAAACGUGAAAUCCCUCGGCUUAACCGGGGAACUGCGUCUGAUACUGGAUGGCUUGAGUUUGGGAGAGGGAUGCGGAAUUCCUGGUGUAGCGGUGAAAUGCGCAGAUAUCAGGAGGAACACCUAUUGCGAAGGCAGCUCGCUGGGACGUAACUGACGCUGAGACGCGAAAGCGUGGGGAGCAAACAGG
rnacentral:rRNA from 1 species